rnacentral:snRNA from 1 species
GUGCUUGCUUUGGCAGCAUGUACACUAAAACUGGAACCAUACAGAGAAGAUUAGUAUUGCCCCAGUGUAAAUUCUUGAUGCAUUCUAUACUUUU